AUUUCCUACGGGAGGCAGCAGUGAGGAAUAUUGGACAAUGGGCGAGAGCCUGUUCCAGCCAUCCCGCGGGAAGGACGACGCCCCUUGGGGUUGUAAACUUCUUUUGUAUUGGGAUAAACCUACCCUCGUGAGGGUAGCUGAAGGUACUAUACGAAUACGCCCCGCCUAACUCCGUGGCAGCAGCCGCGGUAAUACGGAGGGAACGAGCGUUAUAGAGAUGCAU
rnacentral:rRNA from 1 species